rnacentral:rRNA from 1 species
CCUACGGGAGGCAGCAGUAGGGAAUUUUCCACAAUGGACGAAAGUCUGAUGGAGCAACGCCGCGUGAACGAUGAAGGUCUUCGGAUUGUAAAGUUCUGUUGUUAGGGACGAACAAGUACCGUUCGAAUAGGGCGGUACCUUGACGGUACCUGACGAGAAAGCCACGGCUAACUACGUGCCAGCAGCCGCGGUAAU